ACGACUUCAGGCGAUGAUCAGUAGCUGGUCUGAGAGGAUGAUCAGCCACACUGGGACUGAGACACGGCCCAGACUCCUACGGGAGGCAGCAGUGAGGAAUUUUCCGCAAUGGGCGAAAGCCUGACGGAGCAAUGCCGCGUGAAGGAUGAAGGCCUAUGGGUUGUAAACUUCUUUUCUCAGAGAAGAAUUCUUGACGGUAUCUGAGGAAUAAGCAUCGGCUAACUCUGUGCCAGCAGCCGCGGUAAGACAGAGGAUGCAAGCGUUAUCCGGAAUGAUUGGGCGUAAAGCGUCUGUAGGUGGCUUAAAAAGUCUUCUGUCAAAGAUCAGGGCUUAACCCUGGGCCGGCAGGAGAAACUCUUAGGCUAGAGUUUGGUAGGGGCAGAGGGAAUUCCCGGUGGAGCGGUGAAAUGCGUAGAGAUCGGGAGGAACACCAAAGGCGAAAGCACUCA
rnacentral:rRNA from 1 species